ensembl:lncRNA
GGGAAGCCAUCGCGGCCCAGAGGAAACUUUCCUCUGGAGGACUGUUUCCUCUGGAGCUUGAGUGGCUGCUGUAAGCAUCGUUCAAAGAUGAUCGGUCGGUCUUCAAUGCUACAAGGAGACAGGAAGUCUGCGUGCCAGUCUGCCUCAGAGCUCACUUCAGGCUUCUUGUGUGUCCGAUGUAGGAUGCUGUUGUAAGAUACUCACACCAAACUCUUGUUGUUUAAAACGGCAGCAUAUCUGACCUGUAACUUUGGAUCCAGAAUAGACUUUUACUGCUUCCGCUUCUCCUAAUUUGGCUCAAGAUGUUUGGUGUCACCAAAAUGAUUUUCGGAUUAACUAUCUCUCCUUGAAUAUUGUAAACAUUGAUUAUUACUAAAGAGUUAUAAGUAUAAAAUAGAUUUUAUUACACGAGAAAAAGGGAAAAGUCGAUACAUUGUAGGUACAUCUCUCGGCUCCUGACCCCGGAUUCCAGCCCUUUGACGUCUGACGCCGUAACUGCCGAUUCCUCCAGGCCGUCCUCCAGACCCUCCUCCAGGCCGUCCUCCAGGCCGUCCUCCAGACCCUCCUCCAGAUCGUCCUCCAGACCCUCCUCCAGGCCGUCCUCCAGACCCUCCUCCAGACCGCCCUCCAGAUCGUCCUCCAGAUCGUCCUCCAGGCCGUCCUCCAGACCCUCCUCCAGGCCGUCCUCCAGAUCGUCCUCCAGAGAACUCCCGGUCACUCGACUGUGGUCCCCCGGACUGUCCUCUCCCUCCCACCCCAUAUUGUGUUUAGGUUAUUUCUCUGUAUGGCCCAACCACCCACCUUUGUGUUGAAUCAUUGACUCUUCUGUGUUGUGUUCCUAAAUAAAGUUUAUUUUGUUCGUAAAGUCUGCGAUUGGGUCCUACUUCUGCCAUCAACUGUGAUAGAGAAUGAUGCAGCUUGUGUACUAACAAGAACUAAGAAAAGGGAUCAUAUUACUCCUGUUUUAGCAUCUCUGCACUGGCUCCCUGUUAAAUCAAUAAUAGAAUUUAAGGUACUUCUCCCCAACUAAAAGGCACUUGCUGGUCAAGUGCCCUCUCAUCUUUAGGAGCUUAUAGUAACAUGCUGCGCUAAAUGCUGGGUUACUUGUGGUUCUAAUAGUUUUAAAUAGUAGGAUGGGAGCCAGAGCCUUCAGUUAUCAAGCUCCUCGUUUGUGGAACAGUUUACACUCUCAGUCCAGGGGACAGACGCAGUCACCUCAUUUAAGACUAAUCUGAAGACUUUGCUCCUAAUCUAGUUAGGCCUGGCUCAGGUAAGCCUGAGCCCACUCAGAUGUGGGAGGAACUAUGAGAGCAUAUUAUUAAUCACAUUUAAGAGAGAAAGUAGAGAAGUGAGAGCGGUGUGAG